CAGAGUGUGGGAAGUAUCUCCCCUGCGGCUUGCCUCACUUCACAAGGUCAGGUCCUGGGGAAAGCGGCUAUCCCAUGAGAAAACACAAGAAUAGAGGCAUCCAAAUACACCCUCACCUCUUGCUCAAUCAGAAAACUGCUGGGUAACAACUGGCACAAGCUCAAUUGGGUUUACAGGCUCCAACCAAGAUCAGGGCCCCAUUGGUCAAGGCAUUGUACACAC